UACGUAGGGACCAAGCGUUGUCCGGAAUCCUUGGGCGUAAAGAGCGUGUAGGCGGCUUGUUAAGUCUUGCGUGAAAUCUCGGGGCUCAACCCCGAGCGGUCGUGAGAAACUGGCAGGCUAGAGUGCGGGAGAGGAGAGUGGAAUUCCUGGUGUAGCGGUGAAAUGCGCAGAUAUCAGGAAGAACACCCGUGGCGAAGGCGGCUCUCUGGAACGCAACUGACGCUGAGACGCGAAAGCGUGGGGAGCAAACAGG
rnacentral:rRNA from 1 species